UACGUAGGGGGCAAGCGUUGUCCGGAUUUAUUGGGCGUAAAGAGCGUGUAGGCGGCCAGGUAGGUCCGCUGUGAAAACUCGAGGCUCAACCUCGAGAUGUCGGCGGAAACCAUCUGGCUAGAGUCCGGAAGAGGAAAGUGGAAUUCCCGGUGUAGCGGUGAAAUGCGCAGAUAUCGGGAAGAACACCCGCGGCGAAGGCGGCUUUCUGGGACGGUACUGACGCUGAGACGCGAAAGCGUGGGGAGCGAACAGG
rnacentral:rRNA from 1 species